rnacentral:rRNA from 1 species
UACGUAGGUGGCAAGCGUUGUCCGGAAUUAUUGGGCGUAAAGGGUGCGCAGGCGGUCUCUUAAGUCUGUCUUAAAAGUGCGGGGCUUAACCCCGUGAGGGGACGGAAACUGGGAGACUGGAGUAUCGGAGAGGAAAGCAGAAUUCCUAGUGUAGCGGUGAAAUGCGUAGAUAUUAGGAGGAAUACCAGUGGCGAAAGCGGCUUUCUGGACGACAACUGACGCUGAGGCACGAAAGCCAGGGGAGCAAACGGG